rnacentral:tRNA from 1 species
CGGCCGGCCUACGGCGCGGCGGAGCUGACGUCCGGCCUCGACGUCGACGUCGUGGACCUGCUGGCGGUCGACAGCUCGGAGCUGACGCUGGCCGA